CAGACCUGGCCAACUACAACCACCCCCCCUUGGUCUAGCUGAGCAAGGAUUGAGAAUAACGACAACUGCUUGCAAGGAUACCACCACAAGGCAACCUUGGGCAGAAUCUUAUUGGUGCAUUCCCAAGCACACAAAUGAUCGGAUAAAAGAUGACAUUACCAAUUUGUCAAAGACAAAGUCCAUCAUUGAGAACUAAUUAAGAACAGACC
rnacentral:lncRNA from 1 species